rnacentral:rRNA from 1 species
GAUCCUGGCUCAGAAUCAACGCUGGCGGCGUGCCUAACACAUGCAAGUCGAGCGCGAAAGGGGAGCAAUCCCCGAGUUAGAGCGGCGAACGGGUGAGUAACGCGUGGGUAACCUGCCCUCGAGUGGGGAAUAACCCCGGGAAACUGGGGCUAAUACCGCAUGACAUCCCCGACUCCAUGAGCCGGGGAUCAAAGCCGGGGAUCGCAAGACCUGGCGCUUGAGGAGGGGCCCGCGUCCGAUUAGCUAGUUGGCGGGGUAACGGCCCACCAAGGCGACGAUCGGUAGCCGGCCUGAGAGGGCGCACGGUCACACUGGCACUGAAACACGGGCCAGACUCCUACGGGAGGCAGCAGUGGGGAAUUUUGCACAAUGUCCGAAAGGGUGAUGCAGCAACGCCGCGUGGAGGAUGAAGGCCUUCGGGUCGUAAACUCCUGUCAGUGGGGACGAAUGCUUCGCAAGAGGUUUGACUGUACCCGCUGAGGAAGCCACGGCUAACUCCGUGCCAGCAGCCGCGGUAAUACGGAGGUGGCAAGCGUUGUUCGGAAUUACUGGGCGUAAAGGGCGCGUAGGCGGCUUAGCAAGUCAGAUGUGAAAGCCCCAGGCUUAACCUGGGAAUUGCAUCUGAAACUGCUUUGCUUGAGUCCUGGAGGGGAUAGUGGAAUUCCCAGUGUAGCGGUGAAAUGCGUAGAUAUUGGGAGGAACACCUGCGGCGAAGGCGGCUAUCUGGACAGUGACUGACGCUGAGGCGCGAAAGCUAGGGGAGCGAACGG